AUUGAACGCUGGCGGCAUGCCUUACACAUGCAAGUCGAACGGUAACAGGUCUUCGGAUGCUGACGAGUGGCGAACGGGUGAGUAAUACAUCGGAACGUGCCUAGUAGAGGGGGAUAACUACUCGAAAGAGUGGCUAAUACCGCAUGAGAUCUACGGAUGAAAGCAGGGGAUCGCAAGACCUUGUGCUACUAGAGCGGCCGAUGGCAGAUUAGGUAGUUGGUGGGAUAAAAGCUUACCAAGCCGACGAUCUGUAGCUGGUCUGAGAGGACGAUCAGCCACACUGGGACUGAGACACGGCCCAGACUCCUACGGGGGGCAGCAGUGGGGAAUUUUGGACAAUGGGCGCAAGCCUGAUCCAGCAAUGCCGCGUGCAGGAUGAAGGCCUUCGGGUUGUAAACUGCUUUUGUACGGAACGAAAAGCCCCGGGUUAAUACCCUGGGGUCAUGACGGUACCGUAAGAAUAAGCACCGGCUAACUACGUGCCAGCCGCCGCGGUAA
rnacentral:rRNA from 1 species